rnacentral:rRNA from 1 species
UACGUAGGGCGCGAGCGUUGUCCGGAUUUAUUGGGCGUAAAGAGCUCGUAGGCGGCCUGUUGCGUCCGCUGUGAAAUCCCAGGGCUCAACCCUGGGCGUGCAGUGGAUACGGGCAGGCUGGAGGCAGGCAGGGGAGAACGGAAUUCCCGGUGUAGCGGUGAAAUGCGCAGAUACCGGGAGGAACACCGGUGGCGAAGGCGGAUCUCUGGGCCGAUACUGACGCUGAGGAGCGAAAGCCAGGGGAGCAAACGGG